CGAAAGAAAACUUAAAGCGAAGGUAUUGUCUGCCAGGAAAGGAACGCGAAGAAAAAGAAGAGGAAAAGCGGAUUUCGGGCCAAAUUAAAUAUGCCAAAUCAUUUCUAAUUAAUUAUAGGGUUUGAUUAUCAUUCUUUUAAGGUAACCAUGGUUUUAGAGGAAUACAAAUCUAUGCUAUAGCAGGGCUACAGGUGCAAAUGGAUUUGGCGUUAGUAAUGAGCAACCAUAAAGGAUGAGCCCUAAGAAGCCAUAGCCGUGGAUGAGCACUUGCAGAAGGCUUACGCAAGUGUUAUCUUUAAAUUACAGCCGAGUAUAUUAUACUUGUUACAUUACUAGCCCAUAUUUUACGAACUUAAUGUGUCGAUUUCUUUAAGUUUGGCCAUGGGGUCGUAAAACCGAGUCAUGUCAAAUAUGUUUGGUUGCUUGUAAGCAGUUUUUAUUUUUAGGGGGUUAAUAGGUAU